rnacentral:rRNA from 1 species
UUAAGUGACUAAGCGUACACGGUGGAUGCCUAGGCAGUCAGAGGCGAUGAAGGGCGUGCUAAUCUGCGAUAAGCGUCGGUAAGGUGAUAUGAACCGUUAUAACCGGCGAUACCCGAAUGGGGAAACCCAGUGUGUUUCGACACAUUAUCAUAACAUGAAUACAUAGUGUUAUGAGGCGAACCGGGGGAACUGAAACAUCUAAGUACCCCGAGGAAAAGAAAUCAACCGAGAUUCCCCUAGUAGCGGCGAGCGAACGGGGAGCAGCCCAGAACCUGAAUCCAGUUUGUGUGUUAGUGGAAGCGUCUGGAAAGUCGCGCGAUACAGGGUGAUAGUCCCGUACACCAAAAUGCACAGAUUGUGAGUUCGAUGAGUAGGGCGGGACACGUGAUAUCCUGUCUGAAGAUGGGGGGACCAUCCUCCAAGGCUAAAUACUCUGAACUGACCGAUAGUGAACCAGUACCGUGAGGGAAAGGCGAAAAGAACCCCGGCGAGGGGAGUGAAACAGAACCUGAAACCGUGUACGUACAAGCAGUGGGAGCACUCUUUAGGGGUGUGACUGCGUACCUUUUGUAUAAUGGGUCAGCGACUUAUAUUUUGUAGCAAGGUUAACCGAAUAGGGGAGCCCGUAGGGAAACCGAGUCUUAACUGGGCGUCAUAGUUGCAAGGUAUAGACCCGAAACCCGGUGAUCUAGCCAUGGGCAGGUUGAAGGUUGGGUAACACUAACUGGAGGACCGAACCGACUAAUGUUGAAAAAUUAGCGGAUGACCUGUGGCUGGGGGUGAAAGGCCAAUCAAACCGGGAGAUAGCUGGUUCUCCCCGAAAGCUAUUUAGGUAGCGCCUCGUGAACUCAUCUUCGGGGGUAGAGCACUGUUUCGACUAGGGGGUCAUCCCGACUUACCAACUCGAUGCAAACUCCGAAUACCGAAGAAUGUUAUCACGGGAGACACACGGCGGGUGCUAACGUCCGUCGUGAAGAGGGAAACAACCCAGACCGCCAGCUAAGGUCCCAAAGUCAUGGUUAAGUGGGAAACGAUGUGGGAAGGCACAGACAGCCAGGAUGUUGGCUUAGAAGCAGCCAUCAUUUAAAGAAAGCGUAAUAGCUCACUGGUCGAGUCGGCCUGCGCGGAAGAUGUAACGGGGCUAAACCAUGCACCGAAGCUGCGGCAGCGAUAUGAAAAUAUUGUUGGGUAGGGGAGCGUUCUGUAAGCCUGCGAAGGUGGACUGUGAGGUCUGCUGGAGGUAUCAGAAGUGCGAAUGCUGACAUAAGUAACGAUAAAGCGGGAAAAGCCGCUCGCCGGAAGACCAAGGGUUCCUGUCCAACGUUAAUCGGGGCAGGGUAACGCGUUAAGUCGACCGCCUGGGGAGUACGGCGCAAGGUUAAAACUCAAAUGAAUUGACGGGGGGCCGCACAAGCGGUGGAGCAUGUGGUUUAAUUCGAUGCAACGCGAAGAACCUUACCUACUCUUGACAUCCAGAGAACUUAGCAGAGAUGCUUUGGUGCCUUCGGGAACUCUGAGACAGGUGCUGCAUGGCUGUCGUCAGCUCGUGUUGUGAAAUGUUGGGUUAAGUCCCGCAACGAGCGCAACCCUUAUCCUUUGUUGCCAGCGAGUCAUGUCGGGAACUCAAAGGAGACUGCCGGGUGAUAAACCGGAGGAAGGUGGGGAUGACGUCAAGUCAUCAUGGCCCUUACGAGUAGGGCUACACACGUGCUACAAUGGCGUAUACAAAGAGAAGCUAACUCGCGAGAGCAUGCGGACCUCAUAAAGUACGUCGUAGUCCGGAUCGGAGUCUGCAACUCGACUCCGUGAAGUCGGAAUCGCUAGUAAUCGUGGAUCAGAAUGCCACGGUGAAUACGUUCCCGGGCCUUGUACACACCGCCCGUCACACCAUGGGAGUGGGUUGCAAAAGAAGUAGGUAGCUUAACCUUCGGGAGGGCGCUUACCACUUUGUGAUUCAUGACUGGGGUGAAGUCGUAACAAGGUAACCGUAGGGGAACCUGCGGUUGGAUCACCUCCUUACCUAAAAGAUACGCAGUUAAGUGCAGUGUCCACACAGAUUGUCUGAUGAAAUGAAAAGAGAGCAAUGCGUCUGCGAAGUCGACUUCAGUGUCCCCUUCGUCUAGAGGCCUAGGACACCGCCCUUUCACGGCGGUAACAGGGGUUCGAAUCCCCUAGGGGACGCCAAUUGCUGAUGAUGGGUGAAAGCCAUUAUCGA